AUUGAACGCUGGCGGCAUGCCUUACACAUGCAAGUCGAACGGUAACGGGCCUUCGGGUGCCGACGAGUGGCGAACGGGUGAGUAAUACAUCGGAACGUGCCCGAUCGUGGGGGAUAACGAGGCGAAAGCUUUGCUAAUACCGCAUACGAUCUACGGAUGACAGCAGGGGACCGCAAGGCCUUGCGCGGACGGAGCGGCCGAUGGCAGAUUAGGUAGUUGGUGGGAUAAAAGCUUACCAAGCCGACGAUCUGUAGCUGGUCUGAGAGGAUGAUCAGCCACACUGGGACUGAGAAACGGCCCAGACUCCUACGGGAGGCAGCAGUGGGGAAUUUUGGACAAUGGGCGCAAGCCUGAUCCAGCCAUGCCGCGUGCAGGAUGAAGGCCUUCGGGUUGUAAACUGCUUUUGUACGGAACGAAAAGCCUUCUUUUAAUACAGGAGGGUCAUGACGGUACCGUAAGAAUAAGCACCGGCUAACUACGUG
rnacentral:rRNA from 1 species